ensembl:miRNA
GUUCUAGAGCAUGGUUUCUCAUCAUUUGCACUACUGAUAUUUGGUGUCAGAUAAUUGUUUGUGGUGGGGGCUGUUGUGUGCAUUGUAGGAU